rnacentral:lncRNA from 1 species
GGUGGCUUCCAAGGCGACUCCGUAGUGGAUGCAGCGCCGGACGCCACAGCCGAAAAACAGAAUCUUGGAACUGGUUUAGUACAAUCCAGGUCGAGUUCCUUGUUUUUUAUCCGAGUGGCCGGCAGGCCCAUGUGCUGUCUUGUUUUUAACACAUCAGCUCUUGCCGGAAGCCGCUAAGAGAUAAAAUAGGAAGUCCCACCCUUCCCUUAGAGAAGGAAAACGGAGAGCCGAAGGAGUCAAUCUAAAUUCGAUGAGCGCGUCGGGCUCCAAGGCAGGCGCUGUCAGCCCGGGAGGGCUGUCUGGGAUUUCUAGAGGGUCCCAGAACGGGUUCUUCCCAGGCCGAUCCCGCCUGCUUCCUGCCCCGUCUCUCCACCCGCCUCCCGCCCUCUGUAAGGGACCCCGAGGGCGGCGCCGGAAACACGGAGAAGGCCCAGAACGGCGCGGGACCCGAGAGGCCUACGUUGGCAAACGCAGCCCGCUGCCCCUUUGCUCGCUUCCCCCGGGCCUGGAGUGGCUCCUGUCGCUUCUGGCGCUCCGAUUUCGAGAAAUGACUUUCAGCUGUGCAAGGCGAGAAUGCUACUUUAGAUGAUGAGAAAAAAUCUCUCGAAUGGCUCCCAAAAUGAGGUCCUUGUUUAAGAGGCCACAGGAAGCCGCUAGCCGAACUCUGAUACCAAAGAGGAGGCCAAGAAGCGGACUGUGGCUUGGUGACCUGUUUGGUAUUGCCAAAUUUUCAGCUUUUAUUAAAGCUGAAACACCUUGGCUGUUUAAAACGUUCGACAAGGACUUUUUUAUGAACGUUAACGGCACAGCAUACGGGUUUUUUGGAAAAAAAAAAAGGCAGGACUUCAGCCCGUCCGCCCCCUUGUGCAGGUCCAUUCAUGAACCUCGAGUUAGAGGCCUUUCUUCUGAAACUCAGAAUCUAGUAGGGAAGACCUGUGUAGACGAAUAAAAAUAAAUACAUCACAGCUUGUUAAGUGCUGUGACAAAGAGGCAGUGAAAUCCUGCUUGAGGUCAUCUGCCUUGCUAAAGAGGUUUGACUAUGUUGUAGGCACAGGGUUAGGGUUAGACUCUGUAAUGGGAAGUUAUGUGAUCAGAUUUCUGUUUAGGAAGAUCACUGGCCAGGCGGGGUGGCUUACGCCUGUAAUCCCAAUACUUUGGGAGGCCGAGUCGGUGGAUUGCUUGAGGCUAGGAUUUUGAGACCAGCCUGGGGAAACCGCGUCUCUACUAAAAAUUUGAAAUUAGCCAGGCAUGGUGGUGCGAGCCUGUAAUUCCAGCUACUUGGAGGCUGAGGCGGGAGAAUAGCUUGAACCCAGUGGCGGAGGCUGCAGUGAGCCGAGAUUGCGCCACUGCACUCCAGCCUGGGCGACAGAGCGAGAUUCCGUCUCAAAAAAAUCAUUCCAACGAGUGGAUAAAGAAAAUGUGAUAUAUAUGCACUAUGGAAUACUAAGCCAUAAGAAGGAAUGAAAUAAUGGCAUUUGCAGCAACCUAGAUGGAGUUGGAGACCAUUAUUCUAAGUGAAGUAACUCAAGAAUGGAAAACCAAAUAUUGUAUGUUCUCACUCGUAAGUGGGAGCUAAGCUGCGAAGAUGCAAAGGCAUAAGAAUGAUAUAGUGGACUUUGAGGACUCAAGGGUUGAAGGAUGAGACUACACAUUGGGUACAGUGUGCACUGCUUGGGUGAUGAGUGCACCAAAAUCUCAGAACUCACCACUGAAGAACUUCCCCAUGUAACCAAAAACCACCUGUUCCACAGAAACUAUCGAAAUAACAUUUUUAAAACUUUACUAUUUCUGAAUAAAAUUUACAUACAUUUCUCAGAAAAAAAAAUAUUUGGAAUUGAGGUAUCUAAUAGAGAACUGAGUUAAAUUAUUGCCACUUAAAAACACAAAGUGAUAUAGCCACUUUAUGAAUUAAUCAGUCAGCAGUGGCUAGGUUAUGCUUAGUGGUUUAUAACCAAAUCUUAGUUUAUAACAACAAAUGUGUAUUGUUAAUUCCCACUACAAGUUUAUAACGACAUUGCUGGAUGCUACACUCCAUGUCUCUUUGUGGGACCCAGGCUCAUGGGACUUCUGUUACCUGCAUUAGAGAGAGAGAAGACAACAAAAUAUGCACUGGUUCUUGAAGCUUUGGCCCAGAAGUAAAAUAUGUCUUUUACCUGUUCACAUUGCAUUGGGCCAGGGCAAUUAUCAUGGCUGCAAGUAACUUCAAAAGGAUGGGGAAGUGCGAUCUUGGCAUGUGUCAGAAGAAAUGAAAACAUUUGGUGAAGAGCAUUAAUGACUGUCUUUACAGGAAAAAAGCAAUCAAAUAGACAUGAUUGCUUGUUUCAGUUUCAUCAUUUCCUACUGUGUUACCUAAACUUUCUGAGCCCCAGUUUCUUAUUACUAAAAUAAAAUAAAGAUGAUAUUCACUUCAAGGACUUUGUGUUAACUAGGGUAAAAAAAUUGAAAACUAGUAAGUUAUGCAAAUUAGAAAUGUAUAAUAUUACUGCUUUGAAAGUGAUGGUGAAAUGUAGAAUAAUUGGAAGGAUAACACAAAGCACUUAUACCAGGAGGCUUUUAGCUGCAGAUAAUAGAAAUGAACCUCCACUACUUUAAUCAAUAAAAAAGUGUAUCAGCUCACAAAUUUGUCAUCCAGACAUAAAGGAGGCUUCAGAAUUUAUUGACUCAGGAGUUGAAUGUUGGUAUCAAGGACCUAGAUUUUUCUCAUCACUCUGCACUUCAAUUCUCAAUGCCCUAUUGAACAUCAGGCUGUAGUAAGAUGGCUAGAGUGAUUCCAGGGAUAACAUCUAGAGAUAAAAAAGAGAACUCCUUUUCUUAUGAUUUUUUUCUUAAGAGAAAAGGAAUUUCCCAAAAGCCCCCAGCAAGCAUGCCUUCACAUCCCAUGGCCAGAAGUGGCUCACAUGUGUACCCUGAGCUAAGCACUGCAGACAGGAAUGGAAUCGCCUGUAGGCCUCAGAGACCACCUGGAUCUUGGGAAGGUGUCAGCUCUACCUGUGGCACUUGGCUGAGUGGGAAAGGGAUGGAAACAUGAAUAAAGUAAGAAUUAGGAAGGAAAAGGAGAAAUGGAUCCAGGGUAUGAAGCCAAUAGUUUAGUUAUCUCAACAAAUAUGAUUGAUUUCAUCUUUAUGAAUGUGAUGACCUAAUUUAAUACAUUCAAUCAAUGAAGUAAAAAAAAGUGCAAGGACAAUAUGACAUCUGUCAUUCUCUGUUGAGAUUUGAGAGGUAAUAAUACCAAGAACGUGUGGUGACCUGGGUCCUCACUGCUACUGUCUUCCUGUACCUGGACACUUCUAGCAAGAGACUUCAACUUCAGAACAAAGAGGAUCCCAACUUGUAGCUGCAUUAUACACACCCCAGCAGCACACAUAAGUUGAUUUCUAAUUAUUCCUCUUUAAGAAAUUGUUUGUGGAAUAUUUAUCUAUUUAUAAAUGGAAAAAUAGAAAAUUAAAAUAACAAAAAUAAGUAA